UGUAGAAGAGCAAUAUAAUUUCACAAGUUUAUUUGAUGUUGCCAUUACAUUACAAGGGACUUAAAAUGCGUUAAGAUAUUGAAUUUAGUAGCUGGAACAGUAAAGUGUACAAUAGGCCAGAACAUACAGUUGUAGUUGAUUAGUUAGGGUGCUGACUCAUGCAUAAUGCAAUCUACGCUAUGAUUGGUUGCUGUAAGUAUAAAGUGGGAGUUUCCCUUUUUUCCCCCUUUUUCUUCUCUGUGUUCUAUAUACUGUUUAAUUUAUCUCCCUUGUUCCUGUGUUCCUGACUAUCUUAUGUUUUUCUUUCUUUCUGGAUGAUGAUAAAUACUGCUAUAAAUUUAAAUGUUAAAUAUACAAAGUAUUUAAAAGACGAGUUUGUGUAGGUGUCUCCCACUUCAUUUGGACAGCUGCUACGCAAUUCCCUAACAAAAUGCAAGGUAAAAAUGUUACCUACUUUUUCCUUUAGGACUGGAGUAAGGCCAAUAGAUGCUCUCAGCACAAUUUAAAAUGGAUGCCCCCCAAACCUUCCUUUGCUUCACUGAUAAAAUAUUAAGACUCAAUAAAUGCUAAAGGUGAAAUAAAAUAUUAAAUAAAGAUUAAAAAUUCAAUUUUCUUUCAGGCAAUCAUCCAAGCCAGUCCCCAGAACUGUAUUAAAUGUAAUUUUUUUAAAUUUUUAUUUAUAUCAUUAACUAGAAAUAAGCAAUAUAAGCAAAUUUUUACUUAUAACUAUGGCAAUGGAAAUAUGCUAAUUUUCAACAGUUUUCAAUGCAUUUUAUAAUAAACUUAUAAUAAUGAACUUGUAACUUGUUUCUCUUGGUACACUAAUGCACAUGCUUAUUUUGUUUAAGGGUUAAUCCAGGGCUGUUUUUUUUCGAUAGCAGGAAAGGACUAAGACAUAAAAACGCCUGAGGUUAAUAAAAUAGAUUUUCUUCUUCACUGUCUGUCUUUAGAUUAUGUGGAAAUUAUCAGUUUUCUUCAAAUAAAAACAAAUAUAAGCUUGAGAUUCCCUGCAGACAUUUCAUCUCAGAAAGCAGACACAGAGAAAGGUAGAAAAACUUUUAUUGUUUGACAUAUUAAAAAGAGCUGUCCAAAAAGAAGUGUAGCCAUUAAUUUUCUAAUGACUCCAAAAGGCAGAUUCCAAAGAAAGGAAUUAAUGGAAAGCUAGACUGAUUAAAAUGAAAGAUGGAAAUUAAGUCACGUUUUAUCCAGAUACUCCAACUCUGCAACAGAGAAACUGAAUACUAUAAAGAGGGCUUUCAUAAAGACCACCUGAAUUUGGCAGGUUUGACUAUAUAGUGCUUUUGAAAACUAGUGGAAGAUUUACAAAAGGGAUUU